rnacentral:rRNA from 1 species
ACGGGUGAGUAACACGUGGGAACGUACCCUUAUCUUCGGAAUAGCUCCGGGAAACUGGAAUUAAUACCGAAUGCGCCCUUUGGGGGAAAGAUUUAUCGGAUAAGGAUCGGCCCGCGUUGGAUUAGCUAGUUGGUGGGGUAAAGGCCUACCAAGGCGACGAUCCAUAGCUGGUCUGAGAGGAUGAUCAGCCACAUUGGGACUGAGACACGGCCCAAACUCCUACGGGAGGCAGCAGUGGGGAAUAUUGGACAAUGGGCGCAAGCCUGAUCCAGCCAUGCCGCGUGAGUGAUGAAGGCCUUAGGGUUGUAAAGCUCUUUCACCGGAGAAGAUAAUGACGGUAUCCGGAGAAGAAGCCCCGGCUAACUUCGUGCCAGCAGCCGCGGUAAUACGAAGGGGGCUAGCGUUGUUCGGAAUUACUGGGCGUAAAGCGCACGUAGGCGGACAUUUAAGUCAGAGGUGAAAUCCCGGAGCUCAACUUCGGAACUGCCUUUGAUACUGGGUGUCUUGAGUAUGGAAGAGGUUAGUGGAAUUGCGAGUGUAGAGGUGAAAUUCGUAGA